AUAAUGGGUCAGCGACUUAUAUUCUGUAGCAAGGUUAACCGAAUAGGGGAGCCGAAGGGAAACCGAGUCUUAACUGGGCGUUAAGUUGCAGGGUAUAGACCCGAAACCCGGUGAUCUAGCCAUGGGCAGGUUGAAGGUUGGGUAACACUAACUGGAGGACCGAACCGACUAAUGUUGAAAAAUUAGCGGAUGACUUGUGGCUGGGGGUGAAAGGCCAAUCAAACCGGGAGAUAGCUGGUUCUCCCCGAAAGCUAUUUAGGUAGCGCCUCGUGAAUUCAUCUCCGGGGGUAGAGCACUGUUUCGGCAAGGGGGUCAUCCCGACUUACCAACCCGAUGCAAACUGCGAAUACCGGAGAAUGUUAUCACGGGAGACACACGGCGGGUGCUAACGUCCGUCGUGAAGAGGGAAACAACCCAGACCGCCAGCUAAGGUCCCAAAGUCAUGGUUAAGUGGGAAACGAUGUGGGAAGGCCCAGACAGCCAGGAUGUUGGCUUAGAAGCAGCCAUCAUUUAAAGAAAGCGUAAUAGCUCACUGGUCGAGUCGGCCUGCGCGGAAGAUGUAACGGGGCUAAACCAUGCACCGAAGCU
rnacentral:rRNA from 1 species